CAGUCGCCACGGUAAUACGUAGGUGGCAAGCGUUGUCCGGAAUUAUUGGGCGUAAAGGGCUCGCAGGCGGUUUCUUAAGUCUGAUGUGAAAGCCCCCGGCUCAACCGGGGAGGGUCAUUGGAAACUGGGAAACUUGAGUGCAGAAGAGGAGAGUGGAAUUCCACGUGUAGCGGUGAAAUGCGUAGAGAUGUGGAGGAACACCAGUGGCGAAGGCGACUCUCUGGUCUGUAACUGACGCUGAGGAGCGAAAGCGCGGGGAGCGAACAGGAUUAGAUACCCCCGUAGUCCCUGUCUCUUAUAA
rnacentral:rRNA from 1 species